AAAAUCUAUAAUAAAAUAAAUAAUAAGUAAAUAUAAAAUAUAAGAAAUAAAAAUACUACAUUAAACAUAUAUCGUAAUAUUACAAUUUGAUAUAAAAUAAAAAUAGUUAGAUAAGUAAAUAUACAAUUAAAAAAGUAAAUACACAAGAUAAGAGACAGAACAACUACAUUAAACAUCUAUUUGAAAAAUGUAGAUUUUUACAUUUUUAUGACUUCCAAAUAAUUUAUAAGUAAAUAUACAAUAUAAUAAAAAUAAGCAUACAAUAUAAGAAAUAUAAAUUUUACAUGAAGCAUCUAUUAUAAUAAUAUCAUUUCAUAUAAAGCAAGAAAUUUAGAAUAAGUAAAUAUACAAUAUAAGAAAAAUUAAAAAAUAGGUAAACUACAAUUAAUAAAUGAAAAAUCUAAAUUAAACAUCUUUCUAAAAAAAUGUAUAGUAAAGUAAAUAAUAAAUUAGUAUACAAUAUAUUAAAUAGAAAUAUUAUAUUAAGCAUCUAUCGUAUUAUUAGAAUAAGUAAAUAUACUAUAUAAAGAUUUAUGGUUUAGAGUUAAGGGGUGGGAUUUUGAGGAUAGGAUUUCAAAUUUUUAAAAAUAAAAAUUAAAAAAUUAAAUUUUUAAAAAUAAAAGAGACUAUUUUGGUCACUUUCUUUAUUGAAUACUAUUUUGUGACAAAAAACUUAAAAGAUCUAUUUGAGAGAAUUGUCUUACAAUAUAAGAAAAAAUAAAUAAUAAGUAAAUAUACAAUAUAUGAAAGGAAAAACUAUAUCAAACAUCUAUCUAAAAAAUGUAUAGUUUUCUGAUUUUUUCUAAAGAAAUAUGUAUUCACACAUACAUACAAUUCAGAAUUUGUUGUUGUUCAGAAUACAACGUUCAAAAAAAUAACUAUAUGGUUAACAUUUAAAAAUAAAAAUAGCCCCGCACGAUUAACUCCUAGUCUUUAUAUAUAUAAUAGGCUUUGAAUCUCUCCUAGAGUGUCCACAUGAGAUGCCGUGUCAUCAAUUAAGACAAUACUGUUGCGACACCUGUCCCGCUUCACAAAACGCGGCGCAUCAUUUAUGAAGUUAUCGUACGGGCUUUGUUUUGUUUAGGCCUGUUCGACUAAAUGGGUUUGAUUUGUACGGCCCUGUGCAUAAGUUAGCAUAGCGCUAACCCUAAUCAUCUCCUUCGUUUCUCUGAGUUGAGUUCGGCAGAUCGCGUCUCGUUGUUCUUUACGGAGAAUGACGAUCGAUUGUUCUCUAUCUUCCUGUAACGGAUCACGACUUAAAUCAAAUUAAUACAGACCCCCACUAAAAACCCUUCAAUGCGUUGUAUAGCUAGGCGAAAUCUAGCAUCUCUGCUAUAAAUAGACCGGGAAGUGUUCAUUGGUCGUGGAGGCUAGACUACUGAGAUACUGGGAGGCUAGGAAUGUUAAGCGUGGUGGAGAGCUUAUGUGGGUGGAUAUGCUUUUGGUUGAUGUUAAUCUGAGCCGCCUCUGCCUUGCCUGAGGAAGGAUUUCGUUUCCGUGACCAGUCGGAGCUGCUUGGUUUGGCUAACAUAAACACUCAGCUACCAGACAUCAUAGGGGAGAUCCUUGGCGUCAAAAGUACUGUUACUGAUCCUCCGGAGGAAAAGAACCGUGUCAUGGUGACCAUAAAAAUGGACAGUGAUGACACUGCCACUCUAAGCUUAUUUGACUCUCAAGCUGUUGCUUUCCACAAACAACUUGAGGCGAUGCGUGUUGAUCCGAAGGUCAUUGUUGCUACUAGCAUUAACCCAAAGAUGGUUGGA